rnacentral:rRNA from 1 species
AGGAAUAUUGGUCAAUGGACGAGAGUCUGAACCAGCCAAGUAGCGUGCAGGAUGACGGCCCUAUGGGUUGUAAACUGCUUUUAUAAGGGAAUAAAGUUAGUCUCGUGAGACUUUUUGCAUGUACCUUAUGAAUAAGGACCGGCUAAUUCCGUGCCAGCAGCCGCGGUAAUACGGAAGGUCCGGGCGUUAUCCGGAUUUAUUGGGUUUAAAGGGAGCGUAGGCCGGAGAUUAAGCGUGUUGUGAAAUGUAGAUGCUCAACAUCUGAACUGCAGCGCGAACUGGUUUCCUUGAGUACGCACAAAGUGGGCGGAAUUCGUGGUGUAGCGGUGAAAUGCUUAGAUAUCACGAAGAACUCCGAUUGCGAAGGCAGCUCACUGGAGCGCAACUGACGCUGAAGCUCGAAAGUGCGGGUAUCGAACAGGAUUAGAUACCCUGGUAGUCCGCACGGUAAACGAUGGAUGCCCGCUGUUGGUCUGAAUAGGUCAGCGGCCAAGCGAAAGCAUUAAGCAUCCCACCUGGGGAGUACGCCGGCAACGGUGAAACUCAAAGGAAUUGACGGGGGCCCGCACAAGCGGAGGAACAUGUGGUUUAAUUCGAUGAUACGCGAGGAACCUUACCCGGGCUUGAAUUGCAGAGGAAGGAUUUGGAGACAAUGACGCCCUUCGGGGCCUCUGUGAAGGUGCUGCAUGGUUGUCGUCAGCUCGUGCCGUGAGGUGUCGGCUUAAGUGCCAUAACGAGCGCAACCCCUCUCCUUAGUUGCCAUCAGGUCAUGCUGGGCACUCUGGGGACACUGCUACCGUAAGGUGUGAGGAAGGUGGGGAUGACGUCAAAUCAGCACGGCCCUUACGUCCGGGGCUACACACGUGUUACAAUGGCAGGUACAGAGAGACGGUCCCUUGCAAAAUGGAUCAAAUCCUUAAAGCCUGUCUCAGUUCGGACUGGGGUCUGCAACCCGACCCCACGAAGCUGGAUUCGCUAGUAAUCGCGCAUCAGCCAUGGCGCGGUGAAUACGUUCCCG